UUAAAGGGCCGCGGUAUUCUGACCGUGCGAAGGUAGCAUAAUAAUUAGUCUCCUAAUUAGAGGCUUGUAUGAAUGGUUGGACAAGAUGGAAACUGUCUCAUUACAAUAAAUAAAAUUUAAUAUUUAAGUAAAAAAGCUUAAAUAAUAUGGAGGGACGAUAAGACCCUAUAAAGCUUUAUAAUAUACUCUUUUAGUAUAAAUUGUGAUGUUAUUAACUUACUUUAAAAAGUAUAUUAUUUUACUGGGGCGGUAAAAGUAUAUUAAAGAAUAACUGCUUUUGUUUUUUAAAUCAAUUAUAAUUGAAAAUAAAUUGAUCCAUUAUUAAUGAUCACAAAACCAAGUUACUUUAGGGAUAACAGCGUAAUUUUUUUUGAGAGUUCUUAUCGAAAAAAAAGUUUGCGACCUCGAUGUUGAAUUAAGGUUACCUUAAGGUGCAGUAGUUUU
rnacentral:rRNA from 1 species